UGUCCUUACUUAUAAUUACGCAAAGCAAGUAUUUCGUUCACAGUGUCUCACUUUUGUGUCUCUCUUCCUUCUACUAGGGUUUUAGGUCGAUCAGAGGAUUGAAUCGUUCUCUUUUAAUUAGUUGGCGGGAGAUUUCUGCUCUGGAGUCUCAUACUAUUUUGAGGGCAAACAAAUUGUGUUUGCAUGUUCUCAAGUAACCGUCAUAAAACAAUUCUCCGGCGUGACGGAGCCACCUUUAGGGGUGGCAUCUCCGCUAGAGCGGUCUCAUAUUCCAUUGCCUUGUGGAGUGGCGUCGCUGCUUUUACCAUUUGGGACUGGCCAUGAGACAAACAUUCCUUCUCUUUUGUUGUGCUUUAGUGUUCGUUUAUUUUUCUUUAUGUAUUUAUUUUCAUUGAUUAUAUUUCAAUUAUUGAAAUUGCUGAUGAUGAUUUAAUCCAAUUUUAUGAGGUGCUGUGGAUCCAAGACCCUGUUUUCAGGGAGAACCUACUUGGUGAAGCCUCAUUCAUAUGAUAUCCUAGGAUUUUACUGAAGCAUUUUACUUUGAGAAUAUUUCUAUAUUUGAAUGAUCUAUUUAAUUUUCUUGUUUCUUAUAAUUUAUUGUAAAACUUGACUAUUUUAACCAAUGAUUUUCCUAUCCAAAUUGCUAGAGGUUGUAGUUGAUCCAAUAUCCUGUUCGGGGAGAACCUACUCGGUGUUACCACAUUUCCUAUGACAACAAUUUUCUGUUAGUUGUGUAUAUUGAGUUUUAACUAUACCCUGGGUUUAUUUAGUUGAUUCUGGGUCUGAAAAGCUCAUAGAUUGAGUGUUGUCAUCAGCUUCAUCUCUUGUAACUUACGAGAUAGGAGUUAAAUAACAGCACUACAUUUUU